UGUGUAGUUUUGGUGCCCGUCCUGGAUCUUGCUCUGUAGCCCAGGCUGGCCUCGAACUCCCAGAGAUCCACAUGGCUCUGCUUCCCGAGUGUGCCACUGCUGCCUGGAUGCACCUGGGAAUUCUAAAGAGCGGUCUGUGACAGGAAGAACUGCUAGGCAAGCCAUGGCGGGGCAGUGGCACCAUGGCACCCAUGGCCUGGCACGGGACCUCAUAGUGCCAAGUGUCCCAGGACACCUUGUGAUUCGGCCUGUCCGCUCUGGCUAAAUAUUUGGGAACCCAAGGCCCGGUGCCAGGCAAUAGUUCCAACACUGGGGACAGAGAACAAACACCACAGAGGUCCUUGCCCUCCUGAGCCCAGGAUUCCCAUGAGGACAGCGUGGCAGAAGAAAAAGGCCCGAUAUACAGAGCCCCUGGCUGAAUCCUCCUUGGACUAUAUUGGCGACACCGGAUCCAGGGGUUAGAUGGCCUUGCACCUGCUUGGCCAUCCCUCUGCUAUGGAACCCCGUCCCCUGCCCCUCCUCAGCACAUGGGAACAUGUAUCCGCACAUUGUGUCCACGAGGGCCCAGACAACGACUUGCAUCCACAUGUGGAUGGGCGCAACUUGCGUGGCACACAAAAACACACCUAGCCACAUAUGUCAACACUGGGACCCUACACCGAGCUGUAUGUGCUAGUGUACCUGGGGCCACCAUUGUGAGGACAUUCACCAACAGGUGUGACACACGCACCGGAGACAUGCGUACUAGUGGAUGUACAAGGAACCAGGUGGGAACAGAAGUAAGCGCUUGGAACUAAAAAUAGGCAGCCGAUAGCCACAGCCACAGCCCUGUAGGGAACCAAAAUAGCUCCUCACGAGCCAGGGGGACCGGAAGCCAGACGGGAGGAAAGAGGAAGAAAACAGAAGAAAUCCCAGCACACCCAAACAUCCCUACCCAGGGCCUGGAGAGCAAGGAACCUGCAGGGAUACCCAUCCUGACACUGAGGGCCCCAGAACCCACUGGGAGAGCGGCCCACAGUGGCCCAGGCAGACCUUAGCCUCAAGGUCAUAGGGUGCCACAAGCUGGGGAAAGGCAGACUUUCCCACUUGAGUCCUCCUGAGGGGCUCUGAGCCUGCAGUCUUCUCAGGCAGCCACGGGAGAAAAGCCUAGAAUACAUCCACUGGCCAUGCAGAUAAAUGGAGGACUCAUCCAUUAAGGGUAAAAGAAGGAAGGACCAGGGUGGUGGCCUUAGGCCUCUCCAGUCAGGAUGAACUAAACCCAGAAGCAACAAUCUAUCAGCAAAGGCUACACCACCCAGAAGCUACAGUCUGUAUCAGCGGAGGCUACACCACCACAGGCUUUGAAUUCACUGAAAAGCUUGCUUCUGUUACCUCAAUCUGUGUGACUUGGGACAAGUUACUUUCUAUCUAUGUGUGCCUGUGUGUGUCUCCCUGGAAGGAAGCCGAAAGCAACUGUAGCCAUUUAGACACUAAAUAAAAGGCUUUGAGAAACAGCAGACUGCUCAAGGUAACAGUGUCUACAAGCUGCUAUCUUCUGUCAGGGCCCCCUUCCAAGGACCAGGCCCCAGAGCUCUGACAAAGGUCCCCAAACAACUCAGGGACAGUGUAGAUACCCCAGGCUAGCCCAACUCCUGAGAGUUCCCUGGGGGUCCAGAGGGAGCAGUGAGAGCAGGAGACAAAAUUGAGGUGAGGAGAGGUAGACAGCCAUCUACCAGCAUCCCAGUCAGCUCCCACAGCCCCUCCCCUGGCUAACUUCAUGUUCAGGAAAAAGAAAGCAUCACAUACAGGCCUGGGACCGAAUAAGGGCUGGAGAGAUGGCUCAGAUGUUACCAGCAGCAGCUACUCCCGUCGAGGACCUGGGUCCGGUUCCCAGAACCCACAGGUCAGAUCACAACCACCCAUCCCUCCAGUUCAGGCUGAGGGACA